rnacentral:rRNA from 1 species
UCGGGAAUUUUGGGCAAUGGGCGAAAGCCUGAUCCAGCCAUGCCGCGUGAGUGACGAAGGCCUUAGGGUUGUAAAACUCUUUCGUCGGGGACGAUAAUGACGGUACCCGAAGAAGAAGCUCCGGCUAACUUCGUGCCAGCAGCCGCGGUAAUACGAAGGGAGCUAGCGUUGUUCGGAAUCACUGGGCGUAAAGGGCGCGUAGGCGGCGUGGUAAGUCAUCUGUGAAAUCUCCGAGCUUAACUCGGAACGGUCAGAUGAUACUGCUGUGCUAGAGUACAGAAAGGGCAAUCGGAAUUCUUGGUGUAGCGGUGAAAUGCGUAGAUAUCAAGAGGAACACCUGAGGCGAAGGCGGGUUGCUAGGCUGAUACUGACGCUGAGGCGCGAAAGCUAGGGUAGCAAACGGGAUUAGAUACCCAAGUAGUCCCUGAGCGGGCUGGCAAGGCGCAU